AAGAUACUAGUAAUAAAUUACACUGCCUUGUCAAGGCAGAAUUGUGGGUGGAACCCCCACGUAUCUUG
rnacentral:tRNA from 1 species